rnacentral:rRNA from 1 species
CCUACGGGGGGCUGCAGUGAGGAAUAUUGGUCAAUGGACGCAAGUCUGAACCAGCCAUGCCGCGUGCAGGAAGACGGCCCUAUGAGUUGUAAACUGCUUUUGUACGAGGGUAAAUCCCGAUACGUGUAUCGGGUUGACAGUAUCGUACGUAUACGGAUCGGCUAACUCCGUGCCAGCAGCCGCGGUAAUACGGAGGGUUCAAGCGUUAUCCGGAUUUAUUGGGUUUAAAGGGUGCGUAGGCGGUUCGAUAAGUUAGAGGUGAAAUCCCGGGGCUCAACUCCGGCGGGGCAUCUGAAACUGGCGGGAUAGAGUUUAGUUGCGGUAGGCGGAAUGUAAGGUGUAGCGGUGAAAUGCACAGAGAUCAGAAAGAACACCGAUUGCGAAGGCAGCUUACCGAACUACGACUGACGUUGAGGCACGAAAGCGUGGGGAGCAAACAGGAUUAGAUACCCGAGUAGUC